GCUGCCGGGGGAGGGGCGGCCGCCGCCCGCCUGCGCUCAGAGACUCACGCAGCCCCAGUCCCGCCAGUCCGCCAACACAGUAGUGCCGGCCCCCCUCUUUCCCUGGCCCUGCCCCCCCUCCCCGCCUUUGGCUCGCUCCGCCUUUCUGCCCCCCACCCCCACCUCACGGGUACGGGCCAUUCCCGGCCAGGAAACGCCGUGGCGCCGCGUUGGGCCUAACUCGAGUCCUGCCGCCUCCCGGGAGUGCCGUGCGCCGCAGCCCGGGCCCAGGCCCCGGCAGC
rnacentral:lncRNA from 1 species